UACGAGGGGGGCGAGCGUUGUUCGGAAUUAUUGGGCGUAAAGGGUGCGUAGGCGGUUUUGUAAGUCUUAUGUGAAAUCUACAGGCUCAACUUGUAGUCUGCAUGAGAAACUGCAGGGCUUGAGUAUGGGAGAGGUGAGUGGAAUUCCUGGUGUAGCGGUGAAAUGCGUAGAUAUCAGGAGGAACACCUGUGGCGAAGGCGGCUCACUGGACCGUAACUGACGCUGAUGCACGAAAGCGAGGGGAGCAAACAGG
rnacentral:rRNA from 1 species